UGCUGGUACGGAAGGCGCUAGGGUCGAUUCACUUGGUGUCUGUGCAAGCGGUGGUACCCCAUUAACUCUCACAGUGUUGACGUCGAGUGCCGCAGAUCGGCCUUACGGUGCGAGGCUUUCGUUUCCGUGGAGAGUAUGAGUAGUUAUACCAGAGUUUAGAGUAAAAUUUCGGCUACUUGCAUGUUGAUAACGAAAUGGAGACUAGGACGACAGCUACGAAGGCGGUUGUCCGUAUUCGGGGAGCAGUGCGUUCUGGGUCUGUAUUUCUAUGCUGCUUGCUGUCUGACUGCGGUGUUCUCGGUAAGUACGGAUCAUUCUUUGCUGAUACGCCUCACAGCGCAGCUGUUA